CUACACCAUGAGGCAGGCACACGUUAAUACUCUAUAAGAGCACAUAAGCCUGGCUGAUCACCUGAUAACUCAUGUCAUCUGGUUAUGACAGCAUGAGGAUGUCCUCACACACCUGUAACCUAUCAGCUCAUCUGGCAGAAUAGAGAGAGAAGAGACAACACCUCAUCUCCUGUUCCUGGAAAGCCUUCAGCCAUCCUUCGAUGACUGAGAACCUCCAUCAGCUCUGUCUCCUGUCUGCCUACAAUUAUUAUAAUAAAUAUUGUGUUUGACAA